rnacentral:rRNA from 1 species
GACGAACGCUGGCGGCGUGCCUAAUACAUGCAAGUAGAACGCACAGUUUAUACCGUAGCUUGCUACACCAUAGACUGUGAGUUGCGAACGGGUGAGUAACGCGUAGGUAACCUGCCUGGUAGCGGGGGAUAACUAUUGGAAACGAUAGCUAAUACCGCAUAAUAUUGAUUAUUGCAUGAUAAUUAAUUGAAAGGUGCAAUUGCACCACUACCAGAUGGACCUGCGUUGUAUUAGCUAGUAGGUGAGGUAACGGCUCACCUAGGCGACGAUACAUAGCCGACCUGAGAGGGUGAUCGGCCACACUGGGACUGAGACACGGCCCAGACUCCGACGGGAGGCAGCAGUAGGGAAUCUUCGGCAAUGGACGAAAGUCUGACCGAGCAACGCCGCGUGAGUGAAGAAGGUUUUCGGAUCGUAAAGCUCUGUUGUAAGAGAAGAACGGGUGUGAGAGUGGAAAGUUCACACUGUGACGGUAUCUUACCAGAAAGGGACGGCUAACUACG